GUCCAGACACCUACGGGUGGCAGCAGUCGAGAAUUUUUCACAAUGGGGGCAACCCUGAUGGAGCAACGCCGCGUGGAGGAUGAAUGGCUUCGAGCCUGUAAACUCCUGUCAAGCGGGAGCAAGAAAGUGAUAGUACCGCUAGAGGAAGAGACGGCUAACUCUGUGCCAGCAGCCGCGGUAAU
rnacentral:rRNA from 1 species